rnacentral:rRNA from 1 species
UCUUGCAAACUAAAGAUGGCGACCGGCGCACGGGUGAGUAACACGUAUCCAACCUGCCGAUAACUCGGGGAUAGCCUUUCGAAAGAAAGAUUAAUAUCCGAUAGUAUAUUAAAACCGCAUGGUUUUACUAUUAAAGAAUUUCGGUUAUCGAUGGGGAUGCGUUCCAUUAGGUUGUUGGUGGGGUAACGGCCCACCAAGACUACGAUGGAUAGGGGUUCUGAGAGGAAGGUCCCCCACAUUGGAACUGAGACACGGUCCAA